AUUGAACGCUGGCGGCAGGCCUAACACAUGCAAGUCGAACGAGUGGCGGACGGGUGAGUAAUGUAUGGGGAACUGCCUGCUCGAGGGGGAUAACUACUGGAAACGGUAGCUAAUUACGCCUACUUUCGGAUGAGCCCAGAUGGGAUUAGCUGGUUGGUGGGGUAAAGGCUCACCAAGGCGACGAUCUCUAGCUGGUCUGAGAGGAUGACCGGCCACACUGGGACUGAGACACGGUCCAGACUCCUACGGGAGGCAGCAGUGGGGAAUAUUGGACAAUGGGCGCAAGCCUGAUGCAGCCAUGCCGCGUGUAUGAAGAAGGCCUUAGGGUUGUAAAGUACUUUCAGCGGGGAGGCGUUACCCGCAGAAGAAGCACCGGCUAACUCCGUGCCAGCAGCCGCGGUAAUUC
rnacentral:rRNA from 1 species